GAGAAUAACUGUCUGGAUGAAGCCGCCAGAUGAAUCCUCCAGACGUGGCCCCGUGUGUCCGCAGGGGCGCUUGCCUGUCACCGCCACCUGUCCUCCUGUCUGCGUGUCCCAGGUGCUUCCUGGGGGGGCCUUUCCCAGGCCCCUCUGCCCCCGGUGUCCUUGACCGCACGUGCCACCACUGUCCACAUGACCCGUGUGUACUUCCGGUCUCCUCCUGGAAUGUCGAUGCUUAACCACUGAGCCACGCAGGCCGGGCGGCCAUGAGACCCAUUUCUAUCCACAGAGGAGUGAGGUCUUGAGUGAGGACACUCUUCGUCCCUGCGCUUGGAGCAGAGCAAUCACACGGCAGGAUCAUGGGGGCAAAGAUGGGCAUGACAGGGCCCCUUCCCUCCGGAAAUGACAGACUCGGAGGGCGAGACAGACACAUACACGCGUUUCUCGGUUUCCCUGACACAAGCCGAACGACAUGGAACAGAACGUGUGACUGAGGAUCAGAAGGAGCAGAGGCCUCUGGCACCUUCGCUGCCUCUGCCGCGAUGGCCUGUCUCCCCGUCAGCUGAUGGCGAGGGAGGGCGUUAAUUACACGCUGCUUAAUUA